CAGGUGGCUGCCUGCCAGAGAGGAGGCAUUGCGCAGACUCUUGUGCAAACAGGCUGGUUGGCGUGUGCCUGCGGAAGAGGCCACCUGCCGGCAUCUUCCCGGGGAAGAGUAUAUCUACAUGUUGAAACAGACACAGAGCUGGAAGAUGGGAAGCGGAUCAGAAAUGCCCUAGGUUGGUUGCAGUUGUACCUAUCAACCAUUACCCAGCUCUUACUCCAGGACUCCGAACACUUUUUGUGGAACAGACUUUGCUGUGUCCGGUUCCUGGUGCCACCAUCCUCUGCACAGCAUCCUGUACCUGUAGAUUCUGCAGAAGCUCCUGCUUCAUUUCCUGCUGGAAUGGAAUGAUUCAGGAUCCCCCACUGUCCAUCAUCCCUGAGGGGGAGCAGUACUGAAGAAGAGCUUCUCAU
rnacentral:lncRNA from 1 species